ensembl:snRNA U1 U1 spliceosomal RNA
AUAGUUGGCAGGGGAGACACCAAAAUCAGGCAGUCGAUUUUCCCACAGUGAAGCUCAUCCCCUGCACUCCUUUGUGCUGACCCCUUUGAUUUCCCCAAAUGUGGGAAACUGACUACAUAAUUUGUGGUAGUGGGGGACUUUGUUCAUGCUUUCCCCUG